GUCCUCUUGGAUUAUAUUUGAGGUCUGGCCUGCUCACUGACAAGUUUUAAAGAGCCGCGGUAUUUUGACCGUGCAAAGGUAGCAUAAUCAUUAGUCUCUUAAUUAGGGGCUGGAAUGAAUGGCUUGACGAGAAAUUAACUGUCUCUUAUUAAAUUAUAGAAUUUAACUUUUGAGUUAAAAGGCUUAAAUUUUUCUUAAAGACGAGAAGACCCUAUAGAGCUUGACAUUUUAUUUUAAUAUAAUUUUUAGAUAAUCUUUUUAUAUUUUAAGAUGAUGUUUUGUUGGGGUGACAUGAAGAAUAAAUAAACUCUUCAUUAUAAAAUCAUUGAUUUAUGUUUAUUUGAUCCAUAAUUUAUGAUCAUAAGAUUAAGUUACCUUAGGGAUAACAGCGUAAUUGUUUUUGAGAGCUCAUAUUGACAAAGCAGAUUGCGACCUCGAUGUUGGAUUAAGAAUAAUUUUGGGUGCAGGAGCCCAAUAAUUAGGUCUGUUCGACUU
rnacentral:rRNA from 1 species